GCUCACCACACGUGUGGGCAGUACCAUUCCAUGGGCUGGGGUCCCAAACUAAAUGAAAGUGAGAAGGCCCAUGGGAGCCCCUGGCGUUCACUCCUCUCUGCUUCCUGACUAUGAAGAUAACGUGACCAGCGGCCUCACGCUUCUUCCACCAUGCUUUCUGCACCGUGCUGGACUGCACUCUGACUGAAAUGAACCUGCCUGCCUCAGUUGCCUUUCCAGCGUUGCACAUGCGGACCCCUGUGGGCACCAACAAUGCUGUGGACACAGGAGAGCUGACUCGCAGGCAGCCAGAGAAACUGGCCUCACACCUCCCCUGCCCGUGACACCAGUAGCGGCAUAGACAUGGGAGGAGAGAACUGGCUCUGUUCGUGAAGGCGGCAGUCAUAAGUCCACUGAAAUCUUCCUCAUACACCAGGGGCAUCAAUGGUUGCAGCUUUUCGGAGCAGGAUGGUGAUAAAAAAGUGGACAGGAAAAUCAUGUACAAGUCUGCAAUUCCACCCACGUGACUCCUCUUUAAACCACAGGUAGCAGUCAUGGGCCCAUAAAUAAUCCAAGGCAGUAUCACUUCAUACAUUAGAUUUUUCUACAUGGGAAGAUCUCUUUUGGGAGACACGACAAACAUUGACUACAACAAACUGACCAGGAAACAUUCUCCCUUCUGGAUAAUUUUAGUAAUGCUGAAAGGUGUUAUGCAGUCUUCUAGAGGAUCAAAGAUAUCAACGACUUUACCCAGCUCUGGAACCUAUAUGCUUAACACUGUCCUACCAGUAAAGAUAUGCCUAGCUGUGCGAACAAUGGCUGAUUGUUGUUAUAGGGCAAAUAAUCACUCUCUGAUGGAAUUUGAGGCCUUCUUUAUGGAAAGGAAUUUUAUGCCUAGUAUUGUAACCCUUGUCGAAAUCCCAUUGCUGGGGAGGUCAUGGGUCCGAGGGUAGAACCUGCUAUUGUUAUUUUGCUAAAUGUCCACACUGUCAAAUGGCCCUCUGAAUAUUUAUGUUUAUGCCCUUAAACAUAGACUAGUCUAAAUCCUUGUCAAGGAAGCUUCUUUGUGUAGUGGACGUCUGUCUGUGGAGAAAUGCAUAAAUGGUCAACAUACUAGGAAUAAGAGGUUGGAAACUCAGCCCUAAGUGAGACAUCUAAAUUAACUCCACCAGUACCAAGGCUCAUACAACAUCAUGGAAGAGGAGAUGAAAAAAGAAAAAAAACAUCAGAGCCAGAGGGUACUGUGAAAUGUUGCCUUCUAGACACGACAUGGCUAGCGCACACAUGAAUUCACACUAGCCAGGGGUCCCUGAACAAGAUGAAACCAGCAAAAAUCAAGACAAAAUGAGGUAUGUUAUCUCCAUCCCUGCCCUUCCUGACUGUCUAUUGGCAGUGGAUAGUUACAGGAGAAUCAUUCUUUGUUGAGGAUGUGACUACUGGUAGGUUUCCCAUGUUCCAACAGACUGUCCCAUACCCAUACACACAUAUAUAGGUAACACUAACUAGACUUAGUGGGAUAUAUACAUAUAAAAAAAAAGACAUGGAGUCAGGAGAGGGUGUAAUGGAGUAUAUGGAGGGAGUUGGAGGAGGCAAAUGAGAAGAAAAUAUGAUUAUAUUUUAUAGUAAACAUGAAGGAAAUUCUCAAAAAUAAAGAAAAAAAGCA